rnacentral:rRNA from 1 species
UACGAAGGGGGCUAGCGUUGCUCGGAAUUACUGGGCGUAAAGCGCACGUAGGCGGCUCUUUAAGUCGGGGGUGAAAUCCUGGAGCUCAACUCCAGAACUGCCUUCGAUACUGAAGAGCUCGAGUCCGGGAGAGGUGAGUGGAACUGCGAGUGUAGAGGUGAAAUUCGUAGAUAUUCGCAAGAACACCAGUGGCGAAGGCGGCUCACUGGCCCGGUACUGACGCUGUGGCGCGAAAGCUAGGGGAGCAAACGGG